rnacentral:rRNA from 1 species
CAGUCGCCACGGGAAUACGAAGGGUGCAAGCGUUACUCGGAAUUACUGGGCGUAAAGCGUGCGUAGGUGGUGGUUUAAGUCCGUUGUGAAAGCCCUGGGCUCAACCUGGGAAUUGCAGUGGAUACUGGGUCACUAGAGUGUGGUAGAGGAUAGUGGAAUUUCCGGUGUAGCAGUGAAAUGCGUAGAGAUCGGAAGGAACAUCUGUGGCGAAGGCGACUAUCUGGGCCAACACUGACACUGAGGAGCGAAAGCAUGGGGAGCGAACAGGAUUAGAUACCCCUGUAGUCCCUGUCUCUUAUAC